AUCUCUCUGACGAGUCCCAAAUAGACCGAAACGUGCGUCCUGGAU
rfam:Schistosoma curassoni strain Dakar, Senegal genome assembly, scaffold: SCTD_contig0000349